rnacentral:rRNA from 1 species
UACAGAGGGUGCGAGCGUUGUCCGGAAUCACUGGGCGUAAAGGGCGCGUAGGUGGUGGCUUAAGCGUGCGGUGAAAGCUCGGGGGCUCAACCCCGAGUCGGCCGUGCGAACUGGGCUCACUGGAGCAUAGUAGAGGCAGGUGGAAUUCCGGGUGUAGCGGUGGAAUGCGUAGAGAUCCGGAAGAACACCGGUGGCGAAGGCGGCCUGCUGGGCUAUGGCUGACACUGAGGCGCGACAGCGUGGGGGAGCAAACAGG